rnacentral:rRNA from 1 species
GAUGAACGCUGGCGGCGUGCCUAAUACAUGCAAGUCGAGCGAAUGGAUUAAGAGCUUGCUCUUAUGAAGUUAGCGGCGGACGGGUGAGUAACACGUGGGUAACCUGCCCAUAAGACUGGGAUAACUCCGGGAAACCGGGGCUAAUACCGGAUAACAUUUUGAACCGCAUGGUUCGAAAUUGAAAUGCGGCUUCGGCUGUCACUUAUGGAUGGACCCGCGUCGCAUUAGCUAGUUGGGGAGGGAACGGCUCACCAAGGCAACGAUGCGUAGCCGACCUGAGAGGGUGAUCGGCCACACUGGGACUGAGACACGGCCCAGACUCCUACGGGAGGCAGCAGUAGGGAAUCCUCCGCAAUGGACGAAAGUCUGACGGAGCAACGCCGCGUGAGUGAUGAAGGCUUUCGGGUCGUAAAACUCUGUUGUUAGGGAAGAACAAGUGCUAGUUGAAUAAGCUGGCACCUUGACGGUACCUAACCAGAAAGCCACGGCUAACUACGUGCCAGCAGCCGCAGUAA